rnacentral:rRNA from 1 species
CACUAAGUAUAAGCAACCUUAUACUGUGAAACUGCGUACAGCUCAUUAUAUCAGCAAUUAUUUAUUUGAUGGUUGACUAACUACAUGGAUAACCGUGGUAAUUCUAGAGCUAAUACAUGCGUAAAAUCUGUCUCUCACGAGUAUGGAUGUAUUUAUUAGAUAAAGACACUAACACCGGGUCUCUCGGUUUUGUUGAUGAAUCAUAAUAACUGUUCGAAUCGCACGGUCUAGCACUGGCGAUAGUUCAUUCAAAUUUCUGCCCUAUCAGCUUUUGUUUGUAGUGUAGUGGACUACAAAGGCGUUUACGGGUGACGGAGAAUUAGGGUUUGAUUCCGGAGAGGGAGCCUGAGAAACGGCUACCACAUCCAAGGAAGGCAGCAGGCGCGCAAAUUACCCAAUCACGACACAGGGAGGUAGUGACAAUAAAUAACGAUACUGAUUUUUAUCAAAAUUGAUAAUUGGAAUGAGAACAAUUUAAAUACCUUAUCGAUGAUCCACUGGAGGGCAAGUCUGGUGCCAGCAGCCGCGGUAAUUCCAGCUCCAGUAGCGUAUAUUAAUGUUGCUGCAGUUAAAAAGCUCGUAGUUGGAUUUGUGGACGACUUGCGUGGUCCGCCAAACCUAGUUUGUGUGAGUACCGCUGCGUGUCGUCUAUCCUAUCAGAGGUGGUGAGCUCCGGCUCAUCUCAUCUGGUUCUUUUACUUUGAAAAAAUUAGAGUGUUUAAAGCAGGCGUUUCGCAUUGAAUACAUUAGCAUGGAAUAAUAAAAUAGGACUUACAGUUCUAUUUUGUUGGUUUCUAGAACUGAAGUAAUGAUUGAUAGGGACUGUUGGGGGUGCUAGUAUUCGACAGCCAGAGGUGGAAUUCUUGGAUUCGUUGAAGACUAACUUCUGCGAAAGCAUUUGCUAAGGAUGUUUUCAUUAAUCAAGAACGAAAGUCGGGGGAUCGAAGACGAUCAGAUACCGUCGUAGUCUCAACCAUAAACUAUGCCGACUAGGGAUGAGUGAACGUUGAAUUUACGACUUCAUUCGCACCUUAUGAGAAAUCAAAGUCUUUGGGUUCCGGGGGGAGUACGACCGCAAGGUUGAAACUUAAAGGAAUUGACGGAAGGGCACCACCAGGAGUGGAGCCUGCGGCUUAAUUUGACUCAACACGGGAAAACUUACCAGGUCCGGACAUAGUGAGGAUUGACAGAUUUGAAGAUCUUUCCUUGAUUCUAUGGGUGGUGGU